UACGAAGGGGGCUAGCGUUGUUCGGAAUCACUGGGCGUAAAGCGCACGUAGGCGGAUGUGUCAGUCAGGGGUGAAAUCCUGGAGCUCAACUCCAGAACUGCCUUUGAUACUGGGAAUCUCGAGUCCGGGAGAGGUGAGUGGAACUGCGAGUGUAGAGGUGAAAUUCGUAGAUAUUCGCAAGAACACCAGUGGCGAAGGCGGCUCACUGGCCCGGUACUGACGCUGAGGUGCGAAAAGCGUGGGGGAGCAAAC
rnacentral:rRNA from 1 species